rnacentral:lncRNA from 1 species
GCGCUGUUAGACUCUCGGAAACAGCUUUUAAGUGGUUGAAGAAAUCAGACCGCCUUCCUUCGGUCAUACUGAUUGCUUUCAUCAGAUUUUCAUUUAAUGGCUUCAAAAAUUCACCCAAUCCUACCAUGUCAGUGUGCUUGAUGUUAAGAAGAAGCUCCUUCUGAACACAAAACGCAUCAUUUAGAACACUAGUAGCUUCCUCAACUUGUCCUCCAAUCUUAGCAGCAGCACUCGAAACCUUACCCACGUAUUCAUUCAAAAACUCUUCAAAUGCGAUGAUCGAUGGAUCCGUCGAUGCGGCAACCGCAUCAAGGUCGGUGUCUCCUGACUGCGACCCAAUGGAAAGUGACUCCAGUCGUGCUACGGCGGACUCCAGCCGCUGUAUCAGUUCUUCUUCCAUUUGAACUCUCUGUCUUCACACAAGGUUUCUCUCUCUCUCUCUAGAAUUUGAGCAUAUAAAGCAGAUCUGGU